rnacentral:lncRNA from 1 species
AAGAAAAAAUAAUAAAUAUAUUAUAUCAUCAAGUUGAUAACUUGUCGAGAUAGAAGAGACAUAAUUUUUAUGCAUUAUAUACACUUAUAAAUAGUUGAACAUGUCUAAUUCAAAAAUUUGUUUACCCACUUGACUAACUCCCACAUAACAACAACAACAAUUACCCAGUGUACUCCCACCAGGUGGGGUCUUGGGAGGGUAAUAUAUAGACGAGCCUUACCCCUGCCCGAAAGGGCAGAGAGGCUGCUUCCAAUCNNN